UAUUGUCGUGGAAGAAAAUGAUUGUUUAGACUUGCUUUCGAAUUCUUCUCAGUUCAAUAAGCCAACUGGAUCAGAAUAACACCCUAAAGAAUGAAGACCGAACUAUGAAGCUUUUUAUGGGGUAGGCAAAGCAUAUUUUACCCCUAGGAUGGACAGUUACUUCAAAGCUGCUGUAUGUGACUUGGACAAGCUCUUGGAUGAUUUUGAAUCAAAUACAGAGGAGGCUGAGAAUACAACAUUUUUUAAUUCUGCACAUCAGGACCAAACCUUGUACCCUUAUCAUGGUUUGAACUCCAAGCACUUUAUUCCAGAGCCAUCCACAGUUUCACAAACUCCUCCUGAUGUCAAUGCCCUGCAUUAUGGUCCAUCUACAUCUAGUCAUGAUCAUGGCCAAAUAGCCCAAGACACAACAGAAAAGCUAUUGACUGGUGUUGAUCUUCUGUCAUCUGUCGAUAAUAGAGCUUCAAAAAGUUUGACACCACCUUGUCCAGACAGAUCUUUGAAACCUGUAUGUGACCUUGUUAAUGACACAGGAACCGCUAGUCUUCCAACAACAAACAGUCAUCAUGAUUUUAAAGAACUAGAGAAUGCUGAGGAAAAGGUUGAAGAAGAGCUUUUGGUAGAUUUUAAUAGUCCGGCUGUAUCAUCUCCAGGAAAUGUGUUUAAACAUGUUCAUGAGGAGUUACAGGAGUUGGACUCUAGUGGUCACUUUGAUGGCCCCUCAAACUGCCUUAGUUUGCUGGAUGUCAUAUUACCUGCAGCUGUGGACAGGACUGUUGAAGGUUUUUCAAAUAACCUAAAACCUUUAGAGAGUAAUGAAGAGACGCCUUCAGUUCCAGAGUUAACUGACUUAUCUCAACUUCACAGCAUUUCCCACAGCUCUUUUGAAGCUGAAAUAACCCCUGAUAGUUUAAAUUCCUCAAGUUUAACAGAGGAAAAAGCAACUGUUGAUGUCGGUCCAAGGUUUCCUACCUCAGCAAAUGUGGAGUACUCUGAGGAUGACAAAAGCAGUGACCACAAAGAGCCCUCCAUCGUUCCUAAAGGCGAGUCUUCUCUGUCCUGCUCCCCCUUAGCCGUUUCUGUGAAUGGAUCUUUUGUGCCAUCUUUAGAUUCUCAAGAGACCACACAAGUUGAAACCAAAGACAAGAUUGAAACACAUGAAGUGACAGAAGACCAUAUUGUUGCAGAUGAUGAAAUUAAAUCGUCCCUAUGUACAAAAUCAGAUUUGUCUCCAGAGGAUGACCCUGAACUGGUACAAAUAUUGUCAAACCCAGACGGGCCAGCUGCACUUUUGACUCAGCCCCCUGAAAAAAACUUUGAAUGCACUUUAUCUGUUUCAGACGUUACCCCUUUACCUGAUGGUAGUCAGUCUCCCAGCUGUGCAAGGAGCCCUGACUACCAUGUAGAGUUUGACCUUACCAGUGAUUACCUUCCUGAAAGUGAGCAAAAUAUGAUAUCGGUGACUGAUGAAGAACUAGAUGCAUAUUUAAUGGGUCAAACAGAAACGAAUACAUCUGGGAUGUCUGCUGAAAAAUAUGUAGACAAUGGCUUUUCAGAACUCCAUGAGACAUUAGAGGGAGAGUUACAGAGCUGUCCAGUAGACUCAUUUGCCUCACCUGAAAGUGAUAGAUCUUUUUGCAUGUUAGAAGAAAGUGAAGGUUCCAGUGUUUCCUCCUCAUCUCAGGAUAGUAGUCCUCUGAAAGCAGACAGUACUACACAGUCAGUUAAUACACAUGACAUACCCAGUCCCACUGCAAUACAGUCACAAUGCAAUUCAAACCAACUACCAUAUUACGGAGGAGCACGUCCAAAACAGUUGUCCAGCCACACAAGAAGACCAAUAAUCCAACAGCAUACUAGCCAAUCUAAAGAGAAUUUGUCAAGUUCUGAGGAUGAGAAUGCUUCUCCAGUAUCUCCCAUAGUCAGACUGGCUCCAAGUCAGAGUGAUAGUAACCCUGAAUGUCCUGCCAGUGAGCAUUACAAUGACAUUUAUGACCAUGAAGAAUUAUCAGAGCCACCUCCUUACCCAGGGGAAGGAACAGCUACACUUGAUCAGUCAGGAACAGAUGAUGGAGGUCUUGGUUCAAAGCAGCCACCCUGGGUUCCUGACUCUGAGGCUCCUAACUGCAUGAAAUGUGGACAGAAAUUUACUUUUACCAAAAGAAGACAUCACUGCAGAGCAUGUGGAAAGGUGUACUGUGCCAGUUGUUGCAACCGUAAAUGCAGAUUGAAAUACUUGGACAAAGAAGCCAGAGUUUGCGUGGUCUGCUAUGAAACCAUACAAAGAGCUCUGGCCCUUGAGAGAAUGAUGAGCCCUACCGGGUCUAGUCCUAAUCCCAAUAUUCCAUCAGAAUACUGCUCUACGAUACCUCCUAUGCAACAGGCGCGAGCAGCUGGCACCCUCAACUCUCCACCACCUACUGUCAUGGUGCCGGUUUCCGUUCUUAAGCAUCCUGGCAAUGAUGGAUUUCCAAAAGAACAGAAACACGUCUGGUUUGCUGAUGGAAUUCUACCUAAUGGUGAGGUUGCAGAUACCACCAGACUCUCCAAUAAAUCACACAGAUCCUCACAGGAGUUGAGUCCAGUUUCGCCAGACCCUCCAACGGUACAACCUAGUGGCAAGAUCCCAGAAUGCAGCGAGGGUUUGAUGAGUAAUCCAGAAGGUUGUGCAGAGAUGAGACACAAGGCACUCAGUGGGCCCUGGGACUAUGCACUGCUUUGUGGCUUGGGCAGCUAUGUGCCGAGAACAGCAUCUCUUUUGCCUGAGGAUGAUGAGGGUCUGCCGCCACUGCUAAUAGCUACUGGAGACGAAGAUGACAGUGCAGAUCUGUUAGUGGAGGAGCGCCCAGCUGCUUGCCAGAUAAUGCUGCUUUUGGAAGAGGGAGGUCCGAGACCCUUGACGUUCGUGCUCAAUUCCAACCUAUUGGUCAAUGUCAAGCUGGCUUCUUAUUGUGGACAGAAAUGCUGGUGUUUGAGCUCCAAUGGUCUGCAGGCCGUAGGUCAGAGAGAGCUGGUGUUUAUUAUUGAGCGACUUCCUGAGGAGAACGUUUUGCCUAAAGAUAUCUUCGGUCUCUAUAUAAACAUAUACCAAGAUGCUCAGAAAGGAAAAUACAUUGAAGAACUUGGCAACGUGACAUUUUCAGACAGUUUUCUGGGCAGUAGGGAUCAUGGUGGCUUCCUCUUCUUCUCUCCAAGCUUUCAGCCUCUGGAUGAGCUUGCUCUGCCUCACAGCAGCUUUUUGUGUGGUAUCCUUAUUCAAAAACUGGAGGUACCCUGGGCCAAAGUGUUUCCCCUCAGGCUGUUGCUUAGUAUAGGCAGAGAAUACAAUGUGUAUCCCUGUCCCCUGGUUAGUGUCCGGUUCAGUGAAUCUGUCUUCAGGGAGACUGGCCAUACCAUCAUGAAUCUACUUGCUGAUCUGAGGAACUACCAGUACACUGUGCCCAUAGUCGACGGUCUGCGGAUCCACAUGGAAGUUGGCAACAGCUAUAUUGACAUACCCAGGUCAAAGUGUAAUGAGAUUCUGAAGGUGGUUAAUUCCUCCAAUGAGCAUGUGAUAAGUGUUGGAGCCUGUUUUAGCACUGAUGCAGACUCACAUUUGGUCUGUGUUCAGAAUGAGGAUGGAAGCUACCAUACACAAGCCAUUAGUGUUCUGGGAAAGACUCGGCAAGUGACUGGAGCGAGCUUUGUGGUUUUUAACGGUGCUUUAAAGGCCUCUUCAGGAUUUAUUGCCAAAUCCAGCAUUGUCGAAGAUGGCCUAAUGGUUCAAAUUCCACCGGACACCAUGGAGGCUUUACGACAGGCCCUGAGGGAUCAGACGAACUUCCAAAUCACCUGUGGAAAAGCUGACACUGCAGUGGAGGACAGAGAAAAUGUCAGCAUACGCUGGGUGGACUGGAUGCCUCCUGUUAAUAAAGGCAUCACCAGCCCUAUAGAUGGGAAAUCCUUGGAGGGCGUGCCUAGUGUCCGAUUUCAGCAGGACUCUGAGUUUGAGAUGGAUGGGUGGACCAUCAGGUGCACAGAGGUCUUUCACCUUCUAAAGACCCCAGACUUGAGCAUUCUGUCAUCCUGCUCUCAGUUCCAGAGAGAGAUAGCUACUGCAGUCAGCGCAGCGCUGUGUCCACACCUCUCUGUCCUUGUCACAAGUGGAAUCAACCAUCUUGCACUCAGAGUCUCAACUGAUACUGACAUGGUUGAGUACCAAGCUGGCUCAGGUGGAAGCCUGCUUCCGCAGAAAUACAUGAACGAGUUGGACGGGGCACUUAUACCUGUUAUCCACGGUGGAAGCUCCUGUGUUCUGCAGCAAGCAAUGGAUAUGGAGCUGCUGUUCUACAUCUCACAGAGAAUUUGAUCUGAAGCAAAUAGUGCAAUGGCCUCAAAUGCCGGGGAUAUUCGUUAAUUGGAUACUAAAAUUGGAGCACACUAUUGAUAAACUCUCACAAGAUAUGCAGUGGAAGACUUCCUGUGUGUGGGAGAGCGAACAGACACACGUCCCCUCCGACACGUGAGCAUUAGCCGACUGCAUUUUUUCACCUGCACAAGACGCCAUCAAUCAGCCAGCAGUGGUCGUAAUUGCAUCAGUUAUGAGGUCCCUAUCCGGCUUCCUAUCCAGCCGAACGUUGUUCAUAUAGCCACCCAGCCCAGCCGGAUGGCAGAGCUGAGAUUCCAAAUCAGCUCUGGUGUGCUAGUGUAUUUUACCGCUGUGCCACCUGAGCAGCUAGCUGUUUUAAUUCUUGACUUUUCCUUAUGAAUAAAGCUGACCUGUUGCAAGAAUUCGAGUGCAAAUAUAUAUCUGUACUAUGUGUUGAAGUUUAC